CCGCAACCAACACCACCACCAGUCCAGGACCUGAUGUAAUAUUGCCACAGACUGAUUCCCGUUGCCUUUGAUAUGCAACCUGUGCCUACAGUCAGCUCUCAGGGCUAAAGAAAACAGUCAGCUCCUGCGGCAUCUGAUUUGCCUCCUGCCCUCGCUGCUGUUAAUCUGCAACACGCCACAGCCUCUAGAUCGCUGCCGUUCAGAGUCGGAUGUCAUGGGGGCGACUGGCAGGGGUUCUUUCUUCUUUCGGUUUGAUACAUCCUUCCUUCCGCUGCUCCUCGCAAUCAACCGCUAGGGGAAGGAGGGAAGCAGGCAGGAGGGAGAGCGGGAGACUUCCGGAAAUCCCUUUCCUCCCUUCCCUUCACAGGUUGCCCCAUAGUGACCCUGGAGACUCCCGCCUGCCCCCAGUGAAGGAAUUGGUUACUCUCCCAGAGCCCUCCCGGGCAUCGCCCCCUUCCUCACUUCCUCCUCUUCCUGCCCCCAGCCUCUACCCCUCCAGCCUCCUGUGGCUUCACAGGCAAGUGCCGCAUCCCAGGAAGAAGGAGUUGGAGCUCCGUGAUGUUCUGGAAGCUGAGAAGUCUAAGGUCAAGACUCCAGUGGAUUACGCAUCUGGCGAGAGCCUACUUCCUGGUUUGUAGG
ensembl:lncRNA LINC01152 long intergenic non-protein coding RNA 1152